rnacentral:rRNA from 2 species
UGGGGAAUAUUGGACAAUGGGCGAAAGCCUGAUCCAGCCAUGCCGCGUGAGUGAUGAAGGCCUUAGGGUUGUAAAGCUCUUUCGCCGGGGAAGAUAAUGACGGUACCCGGAAAAGAAGCCCCGGCCAACUCCGUGCCAGCAGCCGCGGUAAUACGGAGGGGGCUAGCGUUGUUCGGAAUUACUGGGCGUAAAGCGCGCGUAGGCGGCUUGCCAAGUCGGGGGUGAAAUCCCGGGGCUCAACCCCGGAACUGCCCUCGAAACUGGUUCGCUGGAGUCCGGGAGAGGUGAGUGGAAUUCCCAGUGUAGAGGUGAAAUUCGUAGAUAUUGGGAAGAACACCAGUGGCGAAGGCGGCUCACUGGACCGGUACUGACGCUGAGGUGCGAAAGCGUGGGGAGCAAACAGG